GAAACUUCGGAAUAUUACUAAUUUUGUGAUGCUCUUUCAAGCUGUGAUGAAAUUUUUGUCUAGAUCAAAAUUUAGUCUAUAAUGCAAAUGGUCCAUUACGCCUAGCUAGACAAUUCUGCAUGCUGACCUAUAUUUUUUCCUCCAGUGAUGGUGCUGGAAGAAGUGGAACCUACAUCGCAAUUUCUAAUCUUGUGGACAGAGUGAAAGUUGUUCAAGUCAUUGACGUCUUUCAAUGUGUUAAACUGAUCCGCACCAAGCGUCCACAGUUUGUUGAAACAGCUGUAAGUUAUGAUAUUUAAUGAGAUAGUUAAUUAAUGAGAAGGUAUUCACAGACGUUAAAGGAAACUGUCAAUGUAAUACAAUUUUACUUUCCGCCGGCCAUCUUUACGGCUGUUUUUCAUACGUGCGUAUACGCACGGAAUAGCUUAAAUCCUUUUAAAUUUUACUUAUAAGAUAACCUAUUGAAUAAAAGGAUAGAAUUUAGUUUUGUGUCUGAUUUAAUGUGUAUUUGUUGAGGUAAUUAGUACUAAUAGAGAGGUUUAGCAAAGACGACGUGACGUCAAAGACGACGUGAAAAUGGCGUGGGCACAUCCAUAGAUGGGCAGGCAUAUCACGCCAUUUUCACGUCGUCUUUGACGUCGCGUCGCCUCUCUAAAGGCUGAUUUCCACUGUUGCGUUUUUCAUACGUAUGUAUACGCACGUAAAACUUUAAAUCCGUUUAAAUGUUACUUAUGAAAUAACCAAAUAGAUAAAGCAACAGAAUUUAGUGUUCCGCAAGUUUUAGUAUGCAUUUGUUAACUUUUUUGUAAAAUAUUUCAAAAAUAGAAGGAUUCAAAGUUUUACGUGCGUGUACGCGCGUACGAAAAACGCAACAGUGGAAAUCAGCCUUAAUACAGAAUUUAGAACUUUUCAAUGGGUACACGGACGGGUGAAAAACGCUUAACGGGAAAGCGGCCUCUAAUCCAAUUAACUUACAGUGGGUCACCUUAAGUUGCAUUGUGCCGUGUACUUUAUUAGUUUACUCUAGCUAGCUGUCUAAUGCCGGACAAUUUUACUUGUUAAUUGUGCUUUUUACUUCUCAGGCUCAAUUUAAGCUGUGCUAUGAUGCAGUUAGAAGUGUGUUGAGAUCAUUCGAAGAAUAUUCAAACUUUACAUCCGACCUCCAAAAUUAUAGUACUUCAUUCGUUGGGUGACAUUCUUAUCUGAAACUGGCAAUGAAGCUGUGAAAUUGUAUGAAUAUGCUCACAUAUCUUCUACUAAUUAACAUGGUAUUCUACUAAGCAUUUGUAGAUCAUUAAUUAAAUAGAAGUGUUAUUACUAGUAUGUUAGGUUAAGUCUGACAGCGGUAAGCACUGCUACUGUCUGGGUAUGAAGGAGUAAACCAUAAAUACAAAAGUAUUGUAGCUUAGAAAGAAGUAAAAGUGUUCUCCCGUUGAAAACUAUUGUGGAUUAGUAUAUCAUAGAGAUUGUAUAUAGAAAUUAUAUUGUACGCAAAAUGGACACAUGGGGUAUAUAGUUUCACUUUAAUUUAACUUGUAAAAUAACCUGUAAUAAUUUUCAAUGUGUCAUAACAAUACUCGGUGUUUAUUUUUACAGUAGUUUACCAUAAACAGAUCUAAAGUGAUAGAGCUAAAAGAGUGUUUGUUUACUUUGUUAUUUUGGUUUUUGUCCAAUUUUAAAAGCACCUCGGACUUCCUGCUGUAGUUUAUGAAUAAAUUUAUCCUAUUUUGUGCCGCUACAUCGAUUCCAUCUUCCGCUUUCACAUCUCACACUGACACGAAGACAUUCGUAUACAUCUUACUGCUGCCAAUGUAAAGCUUUUCUCAGACUCAGUUAAGAUGACGUUAUCUAAAUGUUGUAUGUGGGGUUUCCUGAAAUUCAUUGUAUUUUCCUUGUAUUUGCAGGGUAAGUGGUAAAACUAAUCGUUGAUGACAUACGCAAUUGAAUUAAUCCCGAUGUAGACUUAGUCGCAGUAAACCUGCAUUUCACGAGGGGAAAUGUACAUAUUAGCCAUGAAAGUUUUCUAUCAUACGGGUAUACAUAAUUAUACAGGGUAUAUAUAAAAAAAGGAGACUUUAGAAAUUAACCUUGUUAUAAUUUGAAUGCUAUAAUCACUACGCUGAACACAAGUGUGUGUAAACACAAUUGAAUUGAAUUUUGAAUUACUAGGAAC
rnacentral:lncRNA from 1 species